rnacentral:rRNA from 1 species
GACGAAGGGGGCAAGCGUUGUUCGGAAUUACUGGGCGUAAAGGGCGCGUAGGCGGUUCUUUAAGUCAGGCGUGAAAGCCCUGGGCUCAACCUGGGAGUGGCGCUUGAUACCGGAGGACUAGAGAGUGGGAGAGGUUGGUGGAAUUCCCAGUGUAGAGGUGAAAUUCGUAGAUAUUGGGAAGAACACCGGUGGCGAAGGCGGCCAACUGGACCAGCACUGACACUGAGGCACGAAAGCGUGGGGAGCAAACAGG